rnacentral:rRNA from 1 species
AACCGCAAUGGUUUUGAUUUGAAUGGGGCGUUUCGGGUGGCGCUGAUGGAUGAGACCCGGCGGUGCAUUAGCUAGGUGGUGAGGUAACGGGUCACCAAGGCCACGAUGCAUAGCCGACCUGAGAGGGUGAUCGGCCACAUUGGGACUGAGACACGGCCCAAACUCCUACGGGAGGCAGCAGUAGGGAAUCUUCGGCAAUGGACGAAAGUCUGACCGAGCAACGCCGCGUGAGUGAAGAAGGUUUUCGGAUCGUAAAACUCUGUUGUUAGAGAAGAACAAGGAUGAGAGUAACUGUUCAUCCCUUGACGGUAUCUAACCAGAAAGCCACGGCUAACUACGUGCCAGCAGCCGCGGUAAUACGUAGGUGGCAAGCGUUGUCCGGAUUUAUUGGGCGUAAAGCGAGCGCAGGCGGUUUCUUAAGUCUGAUGUGAAAGCCCCCGGCUCAACCGGGGAGGGUCAUUGGAAACUGGGAGACUUGAGUGCAGAAGAGGAGAGUGGAAUUCCAUGUGUAGCGGUGAAAUGCGUAGAUAUAUGGAGGAACACCAGUGGCGAAGCGGCUCUCUGGUCUGUAACUGACGCUGAGCUCGAAAGCGUGGGGAGCAAACAGGAUUAGAUACCCUGGUAGUCCACGCCGUAAACGAUGAGUGCUAAGUGUUGGAGGGUUUCCGCCCUUCAGUGCUGCAGCUAACGCAUUAAGCACUCCGCCUGGGGAGUACGACCGCAAGGUUGAAACUCAAAGGAAUUGACGGGGGCCCGCACAAGCGGUGGAGCAUGUGGUUUAAUUCGAAGCAACGCGAAGAACCUUACCAGGUCUUGACAUCCUUUGACCACUCUAGAGAUAGAGCUUCCCCUUCGGGGGCAAAGUGACAGGUGGUGCAUGGUUGUCGUCAGCUCGUGUCGUGAGAUGUUGGGUUAAGUCCCGCAACGAGCGCAACCCUUAUUGUUAGUUGCCAUCAUUCAGUUGGGCACUCUAGCAAGACUGCCGGUGACAAACCGGAGGAAGGUGGGGAUGACGUCAAAUCAUCAUGCCCCUUAUGACCUGGGCUACACACGUGCUACAAUGGGAAGUACAACGAGUUGCGAAGUCGCGAGGCUAAGCUAAUCUCUUAAAGCUUCUCUCAGUUCGGAUUGCAGGCUGCAACUCGCCUGCAUGAAGCCGGAAUCGCUAGUAAUCGCGGAUCAGCACGCCGCGGUGAAUACGUUCCCGGGCCUUGUACACACCGCCCGUCACACCACGAGAGUUUGUAACACCCGAAGUCGGUGAGGUAACCUUUUUGGAGCCAGCCGCCUAAGGUGGGAUAGAUGAUUG